rnacentral:pre_miRNA from 2 species
UCUUACAUAUAAGCAAAGAAAGUGGUUUCCUGAGAUGGAAUCUACUCCUGGUGAAGAUCCUGUGAA